GUCAUGUAAAUCCAGUGGUUUGAUGUUGGACUACAACUCUGGAGACAAGGGUUCAAUUCCCCACUUGAACA